rnacentral:rRNA from 1 species
GAUGAACGCUGACAGAAUGCUUAACACAUGCAAGUCUACUUGAAUUUGGGUUUUUUAACUUAGAUUUGGGUGGCGGACGGGUGAGUAACGCGUAAAGAACUUGCCUCACAGCUAGGGACAACAUUUGGAAACGAAUGCUAAUACCUGAUAUUAUGAUUAUAAGGCAUCUUAGAAUUAUGAAAGCUAUAUGCGCUGUGAGAGAGCUUUGCGUCCCAUUAGCUAGUUGGAGAGGUAACGGCUCACCAAGGCGAUGAUGGGUAGCCGGCCUGAGAGGGUGAGCGGCCACAAGGGGACUGAGACACGGCCCUUACUCCUACGGGAGGCAGCAGUGGGGAAUAUUGGACAAUGGACCAAGAGUCUGAUCCAGCAAUUCUGUGUGCACGAUGACGUUUUUCGGAAUGUAAAGUGCUUUCAGUUGGGAAGAAAAAAAUGACGGUACCAACAGAAGAAGUGACGGCUAAAUACGUG